UUUGGGGUAAAAGCCCAACAAGCCAUUGAUCGGUACCGGUGGUGAGAGCUAGAGCCGGGAGAUGGACUCUGAGACAUGAGUCCAGGCCCUACGGGGCGCAGCAGGCGCGCAACCUUUACACUGUACGAAAGUGCGAUAGGGGGAUUCUAAGCGCUUAUCAGCAAUGGUAAGCUUUUGCCAAGACCAAAGCCCUUGGCGAAUAAGUGGUGGGUAAUACGGGUGGCAGCCGCCGCGGUAAUACCCGAGCCACAAGUGGUGACCGUUUUUAUUGGGUUUAAAGCAUCCGUAGCCGGCCUGAUUAGUCCAUGAUUAAAUCUCUUGCUAAACGAGAGGCUGUCAUGGAUACUUUCAGGCUAGGGACCAGGAGAGGUCAGAGGUACUUUUGGGGUAGGGGUGAAAUCCGUUGAUCCUAAAGGGACCACCGAUGGCGAAGGCAUCUGACUAGAAUGGCUCCGACGGUGAGGGAUGAAAGCCAGGGGAGCGAUCGGGAUUAGAUACCCCGGUAGUCCUGGCUGUAAACGAUGCCCGCUUGGCGUGAGUCGGUUUGUAGGGACUGAUUCGUGCCGAAGAGAAAUCGAUAAGCGGGCCACCUGGGGAGUACGGUCGCAAGGCUGAAACUUAAAGGAAUUGGCGGGGGAGCACAUAAGGGGUGCGGCGUGCGGUUUAAUUGGACUCAACACCGAGAAUCUUACCAAGGGAGACAGCAGGAUGAUGGUCAGCCUAAAGGGCUUACCUGACAAGCUGAGAGGAGUUGCAUGGCCGUCGUCAGCUCGUGCCGUGAGGUGUCCAGUUAAGUCUGGCAACGAGCGAGAUCCACACUCUUAGUUACCGCCGAAAGGAGUACUCUAAGAGGACCGCCGGCGCAAGCCGGAGGAAGGAGUGGGCAACGGCAGGUCCGUAUAGCCCGAAUCUCUUGGGCUACACGCGCGCAACAUUGGUUGGGACAGAGAGUUGCAACACCGUAAGGUGAAGCCAAUCCCUAAACCCAACCCCAGUUCAAAUCGAGGGCUGAAACUCGCCCUCGUGACGACGGAAUCCCUAGUAAUCAAACGUCAUCAUCGUUUGAUGAAUAUAUCCCUGCUCCUUGCACACACCGC
rnacentral:rRNA from 1 species